rnacentral:tRNA from 1 species
GCCCGGGUGGUGAAAUUGGUAGACACAAGGGACUUAAAAUCCCUCGCCUUUAAAAGCGUGCCGGUUCGAGUCCGGCCCCGGGCACCA